rnacentral:rRNA from 1 species
GACGAACGCUGGCGGCGUGCCUAAUACAUGCAAGUAGAACGCUGAAGGAGGAGCUUGCUUCUCUGGAUGAGUUGCGAACGGGUGAGUAACGCGUAGGUAACCUGCCUGGUAGCGGGGGAUAACUAUUGGAAACGAUAGCUAAUACCGCAUAAGAGUAGAUGUUGCAUGACAUUUGCUUAAAAGGUGCAAUUGCAUCACUACCAGAUGGACCUGCGUUGUAUUAGCUAGUUGGUGGGGUAACGGCUCACCAAGGCGACGAUACAUAGCCGACCUGAGAGGGGGAUCGGCCACACUGGGACUGAGACACGGCCCAGACGCCUACGGGAGGCAGCAGUAGGGAAUCUUCGGCAAUGGACGGAAGUCUGACCGAGCAACGCCGCGUGAGUGAAGAAGGGUUUCGGAUCGUAAAGCUCUGUUGUAAGAGAAGAACGAGUGUGAGAGUGGAAAGUUCACACUGUGACGGUAUCUUACCAGAAAGGGACGGCUAACUACGUG